GCGCGAGUCAUCAGCUCGCGUUGAUUACGUCCCUGCCCUUUGUACACACCGCCCGUCGCUCCUACCGAUUGGAUGUGCUGGUGAAGUGUUCGGAUUGGCGGCAGUGGGCGGUUCGCCGCUUGCUGCAGCCGAGAAGUUCUCUAAACCCUCCCAUCUAGAGGAAGGAGAAGUCGUAACAAGGUUUCCGUAGGUGAACCUGCGGAAGGAUCAUUG
rnacentral:rRNA from 1 species